CCUAGGGGGCGCAGCAGUGGGGAAUAUUGGACAAUGGGCGAAAGCCUGAUCCAGCCAUGCCGCGUGUGUGAAGAAGGCCUUCGGGUUGUAAAGCACUUUCAGUGGGGAAGAAAGCCUUGGGGCUAAUACCCUCGAGGAAGGACAUCACCCACAGAAGAAGCACCGGCUAACUCCGUGCCAGCAGCCGCGGUAAUACGGAGGGUGCGAGCGUUAAUCGGAAUUACUGGGCGUAAAGCGCGCGUAGGCGGUCUGAUAAGCCGGUUGUGAAAGCCCCGGGCUCAACCUGGGAACGGCAUCCGGAACUGUCAGGCUAGAGUGCAGGAGAGGAAGGUAGAAUUCCCGGUGUAGCGGUGAAAUGCGUAGAGAUCGGGAGGAAUACCAGUGGCGAAGGCGGCCUUCUGGACUGACACUGACGCUGAGGUGCGAAAGCGUGGGUAGCAAACAGGAUUAGAUACCCGGGUAGUC
rnacentral:rRNA from 1 species